AACGAACGCUGGCGGCAUGCCUAACACAUGCAAGUCGAACGAGACCUUCGGGUCUAGUGGCGCACGGGUGCGUAACGCGUGGGAACCUGCCCUUAGGUUCGGAAUAACUCCCCGAAAGGGGUGCUAAUACCGGAUAAUGUCUUCGGACCAAAGAUUUAUCGCCUUUGGAUGGGCCCGCGUUGGAUUAGCUAGUUGGUAGGGUAAAAGCCUACCAAGGCGACGAUCCAUAGCUGGUCUGAGAGGAUGAUCAGCCACACUGGGACUGAGACACGGCCCAGACUCCUACGGGAGGCAGCAAUGGGGAAUAUUGGACAAUGGGCGAAAGCCUGAUCCAGCAAUGCCGCGUGAGUGAUGAAGGCCUUAGGGUAGUAAAGCUCUUUUACCCGGGAUGAUAAUGACAGUACCGGGAGAAUAAGCUCCGGCUAACUCCGUG
rnacentral:rRNA from 1 species